UGAUACAAAGUUGCUGCGACACAGCCUGGACUCGGCAGCUUCCUUAAAGCCGCAGCCGCGACAGGAGCUUGGGGUGCCGGGCGGUGGCUACAUCAGGCGGCCACCGCACGCUGCCCCCACCCCCAUCGCUUGGCCACCCAAACUUGCCUACGUCCACCCUGCUCUCCUUCUGGCCGACCCCAGGAUAUCUGGAGAGAUGUGAAAAGUGUGGGGACGCGGAAGAAGUCGGUUUUUCCGCGAGCAAAGUGUCGUCCCCUCACGCUCUCCACCUGCAGCGCCAGAGUUACCUCUCAGCAGAGCAGCAGCAGCCUUCGCUGCCAGCGAGCAAGACGAUCACGUUCCCACUCGAUUUGAAUGUACUUGUUUUAACCGUGCUGGAAGAACCCUUUAAAUACAGCCUUCCUCCCAUCCCUUAGACCCCCAACCAAACAAACAAAAAAGAAAAAACUAAAGAAAGAAAAAGAAAAAUGAAAAAAGUGCCAGAGUCAAGAGCUGCUCCUCUACUUCCUUAAAUUUUUGUCACUAUACUUACUACUUUAGUAUUGGAUUUUUCCACUAGUUCAAUUUGAAAGCAAGCUUACCAUCGAGGAUAUUCACGUUAUAAUGGGUGGAGGGGGUGGGUCACAUAAGUGGGAGAAACAGGCAGGAGGGGGGAAGGAACCAAACUGUUUUCGAAGGAUCGGUUGUCUGCAUGAAGAAAUUUCGGUUUCCCUCCAACCGCCCCCUCCUCGAUUCUCCUCCCGCCCACCCAAAUGCUGCAGUUACUAAGCAAAAGGAUGGGGUUCUUAACUUUGAUUUCUAAGGACUUUUAGGCUCCGCGUAUAAGGCCCCGUUUUAGGCUCCCCGCUGGCCCGGAGUCAGCAUCAGUGACGUAUACACCUAAAUCUGGUCCCCGGCCCUCGGCGACCCACAGCCCGGCGGCGGCAGCUGUGCGGCCUCCCGCCUUACCCUCGCUUAGCGCCCGCCAAAGCCCGAGGCUGGGGGCGGGGGGACACCCUGUGCCCAAAGGCCCCUCCUUUCCUUACAGUUAGUUAAGCUUCGGGAUUCCCGACCCCUAACCCAGGGAGACUUGAACUCUCAGCCGCUCCAGUCGGGAACUCCCUGGAGAAAGGGGCGACAGCGGCGGCGCCACGAGCUGCUCCUGACCCCCGACUCUAAUGCUCCUCGGUCCCCAGCGCGGAGCUGCCCCCACCGUCCCCACAGCCAGGAGUCCCCGCCGAGCAUCCCAACUUUCCCAAGGGACCCACCGUCACGCGCACUCUCCCGUCCCUACGAGCCGGACAUCCAUCGCACCCCGGCAGAGCGCUGGCGGCGGGCGGGAGCAAGGGGGAGUCCCGGACCUAGAGCCUGGACAAGAGAAGCGGCGGCGGUUCCUCAAGCGUUGCCGAAUUAUUCAUUAUUAAAGGAACGGACAUGU